UGCUGGACUGGAGAAUCCACACUGUACACUGGAGAUACUGAGGAUGUGGGGCUGCAGUAUUACAGAUGAAGGUUGUGCUGCUCUGGCUUCAGCUCUGAGGUCAAACUCCUCAUCACACCUGAGAGAACUGGAUCUGAAAUAUAAUAAUCCAGGAGAAUCAGGAGUGAAGCUGCUCUCUGAUCUACUGAAGGAUCCACACUGUAAACUGGAGACACUACACAUUAAGUAUGAUAAACUUACCAGGACUGGCGUAUGACAGGAGUCUCACCUCAAACCUCUUUUCCAGGAUAAAGCAGUUUUGGUGAAGUGUUAGAACCCAUCUCACAUUUCCAGCAGUUUGGGAGCUGAAUCAUUCAUAUUCAGAUGUAGAAGUUCCAUAACAAUAACCGUGAAUGAUCACAUCCUUUUAUCCACUCAGCUACAAGUUACUUCAGGCUUUAAUAACAUAUUUUACAAUCCAAAGUCAAAUCCUUCAGCAUCUACACACAACACAGAGAUAUCAUCACAUCAUCACACUGAUUACA